rnacentral:rRNA from 1 species
AAGGGAGAGUAACACGUAGAUACCUACCCUCUGGUCGGGGAUACCGCGGCAUAACCGCGAGUAAUACCCGAUAAAAUCUCCGGAUCAAAGGUGUGAUUCCGCCGGAGGAGGGGUCUGCGUUCUAUCAGCUUGUUGGUGAGGUAAUGGCUCACCAAGGCUAAGACGGAUACGGGGUGUGAGAGCAUGCCCCCGCUCACUGGGACUGAGACACUGCCCAGACACCUACGGGUGGCUGCAGUCGAGAAUCUUCGGCAAUGGGCGCAAGCCUGACCGAGCGACGCCGCGUGCGGGAUGAAGGCCUUCGGGUUGUAAACCGCUGUCGAGGGGAAUGAAGUGCAAUUGAGUUAUCUCAUUUGUUUGACAGAUCCCUGGAGGAAGCAUGGGCUAAGUUCGUGCCAGCAGCCGCGGUAAGACGAACCAUGCAAACGUUAUUCGGAUUCACUGGGCUUAAAGCGUGCGUAGGCGGCGAUGUUAGUCUGGUGUGAAAGCCCUCAGCCCAACUGAGGAAUUGCGCUUGAUACUGCAUUGCUAGAGAAUGAUAGAGGUGGGUGGAACUGAUGGU